rnacentral:rRNA from 1 species
GUGCCAUCCGCCGCGGUAAUACGGAGGGUCCAAGCGUUGUCCGGAAUCACUGGGCGUAAAGGGUGUGCAGGUGGGGCAGCAAGUCAGAGGUGAAAGCCCGUGGCUCAACCACGGAAGUGCCUUCGAAACUGUUGCUCUUGAGUCCCGGAGAGGUUGCCGGAAUUCGUGGUGUAGCGGUGAAAUGCGUAGAUAUCACGAGGAACACCAGAGGCGAAAGCGGGCAACUGGACGGGUACUGACGCUCAGGCACGAAAGCGCGGGGAGCAAACAGGAUUAGAUACCCUGGUAGUCC